rnacentral:lncRNA from 1 species
AGUGCUAAUUGGCCUUUCCUGACCCCUACGUCGUGAUGUCAGUACUUGAUCCCACCAAGAUAUCGCGUAAUCCACAAAUUCAAGCACCGCCAAUUUUACCUUUUUCUCCUCUGAAUAAUUAUAGCACUCGAAAAUCAUCUCAACCUUUCUUUCCCAAUCUAAAUAUGCUUCCGGGUCGCUUCUCCCCUUAAAUUGCGGAAUAGUUAUUUUAAUACUUCCCAAAUUUCCAUCUACU